rnacentral:rRNA from 1 species
GUAGUCCACGCCGUAAACGAUGAGUGCUAAGUGUUAGGGGGUUUCCGCCCCUUAGUGCUGCAGCUAACGCAUUAAGCACUCCGCCUGGGGAGUACGGUCGCAAGACUGAAACUCAAAGGAAUUGACGUGGGCCCGCACAAGCGGUGGAGCAUGUGGUUUAAUUCGAAGCAACGCGAAGAACCUUACCAGGUCUUGACAUCCUCUGACAAUCCUAGAGAUAGGACGUCCCCUUCGGGGGCAGAGUGACAGGUGGUGCAUGGUUGUCGUCAGCUCGUGUUGUGAGAUGUUGGGUUAAGUCCCGCAACGAGCGCAACCCUUGAUCUUAGUUGCCAGCAUUCAGUUGGGCACUCUAAGGUGACUGCCGGUGACAAACCGGAGGAAGGUGGGGAUGACGUCAAAUCAUCAUGCCCCUUAUGACCUGGGCUACACACGUGCUACAAUGGACAGAACAAAGGGCAGCGAAACCGCGAGGUUAAGCCAAUCCCACAAAUCUGUUCUCAGUUCGGAUCGCAGUCUGCAACUCGACUGCGUGAAGCUGGAAUCGCUAGUAAUCGCGGAUCAGCAUGCCGC